GCAGCCGCGAGGCCGGCGCCAACCCGCGGAUCCAGCGUGCGGAGCGGCAGCGGCGGGUGCAGGAGAGGGCGGGGCAUGGGCACCUGCUCCUGAGCGUGCCUAGCCGCACUUCAGAGAGGUCUGCAUUAGCUCCGAGUCCGUCUGACAAAUGAAGGACCUCAAGCCGAGAAGGGGGAGGUGUUGCCAUCUGCAGGGCCACGCCGCCUGCUAAAGCGAGGCCGGGGACGAGACCUCGGAGUCGGCGCUCCCAGAACCGCUUGGGUCGGUGGGCGGGGGGAGCAAGGGCCCUGCGGCGCUCUUUGCAGGACGCUGCACGCCCGCUGCUGCGGGAGGCUCCCUGGAGGCGGAGCUCGGGACGCGGAGGAGGAGCCAGGCAGCCUCUGGCAGCGGGGAUACAAUCCUACGGCAUAAAACCCGAGCCCCGGACGAACCGCUGCACCCCGGCGGGCGGAAAGCUGCGGGAGCGGCCUCAUGGGAGAGAAGCAGAUCCUGUGCGUGGGGCUGGUGGUGCUGGACAUCAUCAAUGUGGUGGACAAAUAUCCGGAGGAGGACACGGACAGCAGGUGCUUGUCCCAGAGAUGGCAGCGUGGAGGCAAUGCAUCCAACUCCUGCACCGUCCUCUCCCUGCUAGGAGCCCCCUGUGCCUUCAUGGGCUCACUGGCGCCCGGCCAUGUUGCUGAUUUUGUCCUGGAUGACCUCCGUCGCUAUUCCGUGGACCUACACUACACGGUCUUUCAGGCUACAGGCUCCGUCCCCAUCUCCACCGUCAUCGUUAACGAGGCCAGUGGCAGCCGCACGAUCCUACAUGCCUGCAGGAAUCUGCCAGAUGUCUCUGCUGUGGACUUUGAGAAGGUUGAUCUGACUCGGUUCAAGUGGAUCCACAUUGAGAGUCUCAGCAGGAAGGGACGAACGAGCCGGAGUGGCUGGGCAGUGCCCAGCAGUCCUGAGCGGCCCUGCUCUGCUCCAGGGCCGGAACGCGUCGGAGCAGGUGAAGAUGCUGCAGCGGAUAGAGCAGCACAACGCCAGGCAGCCUCCGGGGCAGAAGAUCCGGGUGUCCGUGGAGGUGGAGAAGCCCCGAGAGGAGCUGUUCCAGCUGUUUGGCUAUGGAGACGUGGUGUUUGUCAGCAAAGAUGUGGCCAGACACUUGGGGUUCCAGUCAGCGGUGGAGGCCCUGAGGGGCUUGUACAGCCGUGUGAGGAAAGGGGCUACGCUGGUCUGCGCCUGGGCUGAGCAGGGCGCCGACGCCCUGGGCCCUGACGGACGGCUGCUCCACUCGGAUGCCUUCCCGCCGCCCCGCGUGGUGGACACUCUGGGGGCCGGCGACACUUUCAACGCCUCUGUCAUCUUCAGCCUGUCUCAAGGAAAGAGCAUGCAGGAGGCGCUGCGGUUCGGCUGCCAGGUGGCCGGCAAGAAGUGUGGCCUGCAGGGCUAUGAUGGCAUCGUGUGAUGCCCUGAGGCAGCAGGCAGCAGCUCACACCCCCUUGGGGGCCAGUGUCACUGGCUGCUGCCUUCUCCCCUCUGUCCAGCCUGGCAUCGGGGCGGCCCUGCUCCUGGGCAGACGCUGGCCGUGGGAGGGCUCCACCUGCACCUGGGUCCUGGCGUCUCACACCGCAGAGCCACAGAGCAAAUAAACCUCCUUCCCAGUGCCCGUUC